GCAAAGGGAGGGGAAGAACGAAAGCCACUUCCAACCUUUACGGUGAUUUCAAAAUCCCGUAACUUCUCCGUUCAGUCUCCAAUCGCCACACCGUUUGCGGCCACGUGUUUACCGCGUCGAGCUCUACGUUUUUACCGGAAUAAUUUUAUAGAAUCUAAUUAGCUUGAAGAAAAUGUUCACUCUUACUUAUGUGAAGCUUGGAUAAGGUUGUGAAUAAAUAGUUGGAGCUUGAAAUUGUGAAUAUUGAAACUUGGAGGAAGCUGAGCUUAGAGUUUGUUGAAUUUUGAGGGGCUGUCUUGAUUUUGAAUAAAUUGCUUGGGUCGUUACGUGGAAAUCGGCCAAGGUAUGGUUUAGGUUUCUUGCAUUUAAUAUAUAAUGUUAUGUGAAAACUUAGGCUAGAUGACUAUCGGAUAAGUUGGAUUGCAUGUGUAUAUUUGAUACUUAGUAUCUUGUUGAUGAACAUGGUUGGUUUGGUGCUUGUUGAUUAAUUGGUGAUUUGGUGAAUUAUUGAUUUGAGGUAUAACUAUUAUGGAGGUUGUUAUGAUAAUGAGAAAUGUUAUUUGGUGUUAAAAGCCUAGGAUUUGUGAACUAUGAUUCUUGGUUGAAUUUUGGAUGAUGGAUUUGAAUAUUGUAUGGGUAUAAUUGUUGAUCUGAGGUAGAUUUAUUGUGGUGUUGUUAUGAUGAUAAGGAAGGGUAUGUUGAAAUGAAAAGAAUUCAGGUUUGGGCCCGAAAAGGGUGGCAAAGUCCGAGUUUUAGAGGAGAUGCUGCCGAAA